rnacentral:misc_RNA from 1 species
GCCCUUUGUAGCUUUCUCUUGAUCUAGACAUGGCAAGGCACACAAGGAAGAACAAAGAUAGAUUCUUCAUCAAGCAUUGAGGAGAAAACUUUCCAAGGCAUCGACAAAAAGCUUUUCUUCCAAUAGAAGCAUCAAGGUCUCGAAUAGGCCAACCAAAGACCCAUCACCAUGGAUGUUGGCAAGAAAAGAAAAGGCAGAGCUAAUAUGGCUUCUCAAUCUCUUGUAACCUUAAAGAGCUAGUUACACAUGUAAGGCCAGUACUUUGAGACCCUAAGAGGUACCAUUCUCCCAGAACAACCCAAUCGGCUACAAACUCCACAAAACCGAUACAACACUAGGAUA